rnacentral:rRNA from 1 species
CAGCAGCCACGGGAAUACAGAGGGUGCGAGCGUUAAUCGGAUUUACUGGGCGUAAAGCGUGCGUAGGCGGCUAAUUGAGUCGGAUGUGAAAUCCCCGAGCUUAACUUGGGAAUUGCAUUCGAUACUGGUUAGCUAGAGUGUGGGAGAGGAUGGUAGAAUUCCAGGUGUAGCGGUGAAAUGCGUAGAGAUCUGGAGGAAUACCGAUGGCGAAGGCAGCCAUCUGGCCUAAUACUGACGCUGAGGUACGAAAGCAUGGGGAGCAAACAGGAUUAGAUACCCCAGUAGUCCCUGUCUCUUAUAC